ACAAGUGCUCCCAUCACACAGAAAUUCAUUACAAUGCAUACUAUUUUGUUUAUGCCUAUGCACACUUUUCAAUGGCUAUUGGCCCCAGAAAUUUUCAAACUGCAUCGACUCAAAGGAGUUGUAUUACUGCUACAGGUCAAACUUCAUUCAUCUGACACAAGCACUUGUGCUGCCACCACCUCAAGCUACAAUUCCCAAAAGUGACUAACCCUAACAGUUAUCUUAAAUAUGCAAAAACCACGUUUUCUACAGGGUUUGUGUACACGAUACUGAAAUAACGAACUAUGAUUUUAGCUAUGCAGAAGUUACUGGCUGCAGGGUUUUAAAUGUAAAGCAUUCAUUGGCAAACAUUUGCCACCUUUACAGUACAGUCGAACCCAGUUAUAUCGAACUCGCAAAGAAACGUGUGUCAGUUCGAUAUAGGGCAUAAUUCAAUAUAAGCCUGCUAAAGAAUUGGACUUCACAAAAGCACAUACCAUUUAUAAAAGCACUUUAGUUGUGAAACUAGCUUAGUUUCGGAUGAAAUAGUCCUGUAUCUUCUUCUGCUUGGGCAACUUUGCGGCCUGUGACAGCACACACUUCACAUUCGCGGGAACGCGCCGGACUACACUCCAUUCCAUACAUAGCAAUCAACACUGUGGAAGCUACGCAAGAAGUUCGGUCAAGAAAUAUUAGCACUUGGUGCGUUUCGUUCACACUUUGCUGUGUGCCGACAGCGUUCGCUCAUGCAAGCAUGCACAGGAGGCUCCUCGCGACGGGUUGAAAAAACACCGAAAAGACCAACAAAAAUUAAAAUGAUCUAAAACAAUGCAUUAGCAGCUGUAUACCACAGUAUGUUUGUUUCUAAGGAUUAAAACUUGUUCCAUUCAAUGCUGAGCCUACAUUAAAAAAACAGUUGCGCACAAUUGCAGUAAAAAGAACAUCGAACUAUAUAAAAAUGCCAACGAAGCCACUGAAAGAAGUCUCUCUAGCCUCCACAGCAUUGACUGCUAUGUAUGGAACAGAGUAUAGUGCGAGUGUGCCAAUCACCUCGGAGGAAGCAGGCUAAGAAUCGUCGUUGCUUUCCUCCUUGUGCCUGCUUUCACUUGUGCUCAGUAUGAUGUCGGUAAUGUAGACUUCGUUUUCGGGCUCUCCUGUGGUUGCAACACCAUCAUCCACACUUACAAACUCGUCGACCGUUGAUCCGUCAACGGCCUCUGGAAAUUCUGACAGCUCGCACCGAACUUCGGCAACACCAGGCACACAGAAGCUCGUCUGAAGCGGUUUCAGAAGAACCACUUCUACACGGCCGCCUCGACGUCUUAUAUAUGGCCGUGCAUACGCGUCAGACGCCACGGACACCAGGUCGUUUGUCUGCUUUAGCCCUAAUCUCCCCCUUAGAGUGCCCCUCGGAAUCAUGUACACUGUGGUGACAUCCGACUUCCCACCUCAUUCAACUCGGCUUAUGAUUUCGAGCUUCAUGGCGAAAGGCAAAUUCUGCCGCUUUGCGUUAUCCACCACAGUAACACUGUAGAAGAAAGCCCACAAGGCGCUUACACAAGGAACGAGAAGAGCGGCGACAGAACUCGCACAACGAGGGUACAAGAGCCUCUGAUUGGCUGUUUGGGCAAGCGCUGCGGGCGGGUCAGGAUCAUUUUCUGCAGGGGGGGUGCCGACGGCUCGCCUGACGCGGCGCGGUCGCAGUAGGGAGAGCGGGUGGAUGGAGCCACGCCACCAGGUUAAAAGGCUUUUGGAAUAUGUUGGCGGGUUUCCCUGCCGCAUCAAGGGAAAGCCAACUUCGGGGGGCAUUCUUGUGCCACUUGACGUUUGAUAUAUUGGGAGUUGCUGCUAUUUUUUUUCGAUGUAAGUGUAAUUUUUCUAUAUAUAUUUAUUGUAACUAUACCAUGUUCAGAAAUUGCUUGAUAUACAGGAUAAUUUGAUGUAAAUGGGUUCGAUAUAGUCGGGUUCAACUGUAUCUAUUUAUCUAGUUGCCUACGUCUUGGUCGUUUCGUUAACUUGGUAUGUACCAAAUUUGGCAUAGCAUGACAAGAGUACAUGACGAACACGAUAGGUCAUGACAUGUAGGUAAUGAAAUAGCUGCCUACGUCUUGGUGCUCUCAUGGUCGUUUUGUUAACUUGGUAGGCUCCCCGAGGAGCACACUACUUAGCAUAACAUUGAUUCCCACAGGGCGUGGGAUCUGCCAGCUUUUUGUCAUGGCUUUGGACUGAUGAUUGCUGUUGUUGCAAGAAUUGCAAGAAAAUAAAUUACUUUUACAAGGCAGUGGGGAAAAAAGAAAUACAAGAGCUAAAUAAAUGCCAAAUGAGUCUACAGUGGAAUCUUGAUAAAUGGAACUCGCUUAAAUGGAACCGCCUCUUAAAUGGAACACCAUCCUCAUGUGACAUACCCAAGUCGCUUUAAACUGAUACUACCACUCACUUCUGAAGAGGCCUGGGACCAAUUUGUACACAAUAUCCUGAAG